CCAAAGGCUCUUUUCAGAGCCACCCACACACUCAGAAAAAGAGUUG
rfam:Charadrius vociferus contig8125, whole genome shotgun sequence.